rnacentral:RNase_P_RNA from 1 species
CUGACGGUGACCAUGUAUGGUUGCUGAGGAAAGUCCCCCCACCUUUUGGGCGCGCAGCCCCAUGCAAGUGGGGAUGGCGAGAGUCAUGGCAAUGGCACAGAAACGACACGUCCUGCCGCCAGCAAUGAAACGAUUGAGCACUUUCAGACAAUGGCAGUGCAAGUACUGGUUAUCAGGAACUCGUUGAGCGUAUCGGCAGGGAUCGAUGGAACGGUGAAUCCCUGCGGGUGCAAGCCAAACAGGGUAAAUGGGACGCCCAAAUCCCGCCCGGGUACGGCGCUUAGCUGAAUGCCGCUACGAACAGAAGGGGGCUUACUCCUCCCACUC